rnacentral:rRNA from 1 species
CCUACGGGGCGCACCAGUGGGGAAUAUUGCACAAUGGGCGCAAGCCUGAUGCAGCCAUGCCGCGUGUAUGAAGAAGGCCUUCGGGUUGUAAAGUACUUUCAGCGGGGAGGAAGGCGAUAAGGUUAAUAACCUUGUCGAUUGACGUUACCCGCAGAAGAAGCACCGGCUAACUCCGUGCCAGCAGCCGCGGUAAUACGGAGGGUGCAAGCGUUAAUCGGAAUUACUGGGCGUAAAGCGCACGCAGGCGGUCUGUCAAGUCGGAUGUGAAAUCCCCGGGCUCAACCUGGGAACUGCAUUCGAAACUGGCUGGCUAGAGUCUUGUAGAGGGGGGUAGAAUUCCAGGUGUAGCGGUGAAAUGCGUAGAGAUCUGGAGGAAUACCGGUGGCGAAGGCGGCUUACUGGUCUGCAACUGACGCUGAGGCGCGAAAGCGUGGGGAGCAAACAGGAUUAGAUACCCGGGUAGUC